rnacentral:lncRNA from 1 species
UGGGAUAGGAAUAGGAAUGGGUGUUGGGGUUGGUGGAGGCUCUGGUCAUGGUUCUGGAAGUAGAAGCGGUGGUGGUGGUGGCGAUGGCGCUCACCGUUAAUCAAAAGCACUUAUUAGUGGCGCCUAACGGUCCAUCUAUUUGUCAUUCUAUAUCUCUCUCUUCUUGCUUUGCAUUAAAAAAAAAAUUGUACGAUACAUCAUCAUAAUUUUCAUUGCAAGAUGUGUUUUCUUCUAUAUUUGUGUAAGAAUGUUUUCCGAUUCCGAAGAUCCAGUAAGAAAAUAUUGAACGCGGAUUAGUCUUUAAUCCUUUGAUUGACUUUAACCAAUUUUCUAAACGGCACACACAUAUCCAGCAGUUUUCCACAAUUUAUUUUUGAGGUCCUACCGUCAGAUAUUACUCUACCAAACCAACAGAGUAAAAGGAGUUUUUAGAUUUAUAGCUUAUAUAUAUAUAUAUAUUAUUGGCUAUACACCUUCAUUCAUUUUCAAGUUUUUGCUGCAGAAAAUCCGAUUUUGAUAGCGAUCAACAUGUCUAAUGUUCAACAA